rnacentral:rRNA from 1 species
UACGAAGGGAGCUAGCGUUGUUCGGAAUUACUGGGCGUAAAGGGCGCGUAGGCGGUUAAACAAGUCAGGCGUGAAAGCCCCGGGCUCAACCCGGGAACUGCGCUUGAGACUGUUUUUCUAGAGUACGGUAGAGGUAAGUGGAAUUCCCAGUGUAGCAGUGAAAUGCGUAGAUAUUGGGAGGAACACCAGUGGCGAAGGCGGCUUACUGGACCGUAACUGACGCUGAGGCGCGAAAGCGUGGGGAGCAAACAGG